UUUAAUGAGAGUUUGAUCCUGGCUCAGGACGAACGCUGGCGGCGUGCCUAAUACAUGCAAGUAGAACGCUGAUGUUUGGUGUUUACACUAGACUGAUGAGUUGCGAACGGGUGAGUAACGCGUAGGUAACCUGCCUCAUAGCGGGGGAUAACUAUUGGAAACGAUAGCUAAUACCGCAUAAGAGUGAUUAACACAUGUU
rnacentral:rRNA from 1 species